rnacentral:rRNA from 1 species
CCCUUAGAUGUCCUGGGCUGCACGCGCGCUACACUGAUGUGUCCAGUAAGCACCUAACCUCUUCCGAAAGGAACGGGUAACCUUUGCAAAGCACAUCGUGAUGGGGAUAGAUUAUUGCAAUUAUUAGUCUUGAACGAGGAAUUCCUAGUAAGCACAAGUCAUCAGCUUGUGUUGAUUACGUCCCUGCCCUUUGUACACACCGCCCGUCGCUCCUACCGAUUGAAUGUUCCGGUGAGCUCUUCGGACUGCGCGGUCUGCAAUUUCUGCGUUCCGUGCGGAAAGUUGCGCAAACCUUAACAUUUAGAGGAAGGAGAAGUCGUAACA